rnacentral:rRNA from 1 species
UACGUAGGGGGCAAGCGUUGUCCGGAUUUAUUGGGCGUAAAGAGCGUGUAGGCGGUUUGGUAGGUCCGCUGUGAAAACUCGAGCUCAACCUCGAGACGCCGGUGGAAACCAUCAGACUAGAGUCCGGAAGAGGAGAGUGGAAUUCCUGGUGUAGCGGUGAAAUGCGCAGAUAUCAGGAAGAACACCCGUGGCUAAGGCGGCUCUCUAGUACGGUACUGACGCUGAGACGCGAAAGCGUGGGGAGCAAAGCAGG